rnacentral:rRNA from 1 species
AUUGAACGCUGGCGGCAGGCCUAACACAUGCAAGUCGAGCGGAUGAAGGGUGCUUGCUCCUGGAUUCAGCGGCGGACGGGUGAGUAAUGCCUAGGAAUCUGCCUCGUAGUGGUGGGUAACGUCCGGAAACGGGCGCUAAUACCGCAUACGUCCUGCGGGAGAAAGUGGGGGAUCUUCGGACCUCUCGCUAUCAGAUGAGUCUAGUUCGGAUUAGCUAGUUGGUUGGUUAAAGGCCUUCCAAGGAGGCGAUUCGUAACUGGUCUGAUUGGAUGAUUGGUCACACUGGAUGUAAGACGCCGUCCUGACUCCUAAGAGAGGCAGCAGUGGGGAAUUUUAGACAAUAGGCGAAAACAUGAUCCAACCAUGCCGCGUGUGUGAAGAAGGUCUUCGGAUUGUAAAGCCCUUUAAGUUGGGAGGAAGGGCAGUAUGUUAUUACCUUGCUGUUUUGACGGUACCAACAGAAUAAGCACCGGCUAACUACGUG